UUAUUCAGAAAUGGCAACCGUCGGCAUGGGACGGAGGUUGCAACGGCUCAAAUGGACUACAGUUUGUGAAAGUUGGAAAAGUUCCUCGAAAAAGUUUGGUUUUCAGUGUUCACUUUCCAUGCCUCUAGCAAUUAAAGUGAUUUAGAAACAACAUGAAAAACUCAAAAUUUUUUGUUUCGUUAAACAGAUUAACGUCACGUGAUGUUGGCCAAUGGCGACUUGCAAGUUUUGUCUGCGCAUCAAGGCGACGAGAAUCAUUUGUAUCAUUGUCGAGUUCUCGUCCAGCCCAUCAGGCAAACAAUGACCAGUUUCACUGCUGGACGAAUCAUCCUCAGUCAAGAAACCAGGACAAAGAUGGCACAAGUCAUUGUAGAAACUGUGAAUCGAAUUCGAAGUUUGGCGUGGACGAGAUUCCGUUUUACCUUGUGUUUUUCAUGGAUAUCUUCCGCAUAAAAUCAAAUGGUACAAAAGUCUAACGAUUCAGUAUGGCAAUUUGUUGUUGCCACUGGUGACAUCAGCUGCCACGCAAGAGCAUCGUGAUGGAGUGCUGGGACUUGGGCGUCAUCGCCUCAUUGGUGGCACUUUACUCAUCGCUUCCGUCGUCACCGAAGAUCAGGGCCGUUACAUUUGAUUCGUCAACAGUUCCAUUGGAUUAGUCGAAUCACGUACCGAACUCAUUUUUCGUGUCAAAUUACAAGUCAGAAUCGUUGAACGUCGUCGUCGCCGCAUAGAAUGCACAGCACAUUUAAGUCACCGAUCCAGAAACGUCCGUCACCAUCACGUGUCAUUUCUCCGGCCGGUUGUCAGUUGGCUCAAAGAUGGCCAGCGCUUCUUGGUGGGUAAUAGUGGUCGUGUUUCUUCUUCAUCCGGCGACGACGGCUACACCGAUAUGGUCCAGUUAUCCAUUUCGUCCGUCCAACGUGAAGAUGAGGGAAUAUACCAAUGCCUGGCAUCCAAUGACGAAGGAGAUUGGGCCCAAGCAUCGGCCCAGCUGGCCAUUGGAGCAUUUCCUCCUCAUUUGAAAGAAACGUUCAGUCGGCAAGUUGUACAUCCGGGAAGUUCAGUCUCGUUGAAAUGUUUGGCCUCUGGCACUCCGCUGCCUCAUUUCACUUGGACGCUGGACGGGUUUCCGUUAUCGCCCGUUUCCGAACGAUAUUUCCUCGGCCAGCAGCAACAAACGGGUCACGACGAUCUUGUAGUGGCUCAUCUCAACAUAACCCACGUCCGAGUCGAAGACGGAGGCAAUUACAAAUGUGUAGCGGAGAAUCGAGUGGGUCGCGUAGAGCAUUCAGCCAAUUUGCAUAUUUACUUCAAUUCAAUGGCAGUUUGACGAUCGAUCCGUUGGAUAAGAGCAGCGACGCCGGUCUUUAUAGUUGCGAGGUGCGUGGCCAGAACGGACUCUCGGCUCGCCAGUCACUUCAACUCAACAUCCUCGGUAGAUUCUUUGCUGCGUCAUAGCUCGGGAGUCGUAACGGGCAAUAUCCUUGUGCAUUAAGUUGGUGAACUCUUGUGUUCCAUUGGGUAAUGCUAUCAAAUCUUAAUGUGCUAUUUGUGAAAGAUUUUAUUAUUCUGUAUGUUUUAAAGGAAAAUAUUUCAAAUUGAUUUAUUUGCAUGUUACGGAGUUGUAUUUUUCUGAUCUGUGGAGCCUGACAUUUUCCACAAUUUCUAUCGGCGGACAAAAUGUCUUUUAGGAUUGGUAGCAGCUUACAAAGCAGUAGGUUCCAACAUCAUCUAACGUCUGCUUUAGUAAUGGCAGGGAUGUGAAUGAUAAUUUGUGAAAUCAAACAACUUAAGCAGGUGCCUAGCUCAACAACUCCUAUGAAAUCUAGAUUGGUGGUGGUAGUUAUAGGGCGCCUGUUCAGGCAACAGUUUCGUUUUUUAAUCCGCCAAGGAUUUAUGCGUUAUUGCGUCUACUGUGUAGCCUGAGUAGCAUACGCAAGGGGGCGUUUAUCUACAUUCCUGAUCACCAAGCAGUUACAAAUAUGUUCUACACUGAUAAGCAUCCGAGGCAAAGGGCGAGCUGAACUAGUCUAUUGCCCCUCAACUCCAGAGGGCACUAGUUUACAGCAACUCGGGCUCACCCUUUGGAGAGUGGAUUCUCAUUUCUUCUUCAUACCAGCGAGCAGAUUUGAGGUUUAAAAUUGUUUUAGGUUGUUAAGCAAGUCUGACUUUCUACGAUGUACAUGGCCGCCAAACUUUGUCGUUAUGUCUGACUGUUAAUCGGUAAGAAAAACGUCGAAUUAUUGACGAUACGUUUGUCAAAAUGGCAAAUACAACGCCUAACGAUUUAAAUCUAACUUGGGAUAAUCUACUUCUCGGACAAGGUACUUUGAGACCGGAUCUAAUUGAGUCCGCUUUCCAUAUGGCUUCUUCGCGCACGGUUGCCAUAAAGACUCGUCAUAACGAUUCCGAAAUGGUUCGUCAAUUGCGCAUUCACGGCCGUGUAGUAGAACCUAUUAAAGACUUCCUUAAAGAUGAAGUAAGAGCCUUAGGUCGUGAGCUGGGUUUGCCCGCACAAUUACUGGAACGUUACCCGUUUCCUGGUCCCGGCUUGUCAAUUUGAAUCAUUUACGCCGAAGAGCCGUUCUUGGAAGCUAAUUUCGAUGAGACGCAAGUGCUGAUUCGUUCGAUGGUCCAUUAUGCCAACAUAGCAGCCAAGGAACAUGCCUUGCUCAAUCGGAUUGAAAUCGUGACGUCGGAAGAAGAACGUCUUCUUCUGGGAGAACUGUCUAGUCGCAACCAGUAUGUUGCCACGCUACUGCCUAUUCGCACUGUCGGUGUUCAGGUACAGGAGGUUGCAGAAAAAUGUGUCGGGUAUGGCAAACAAAGCAUAGGGAAAACCGCCACAUUUUUCUUCAAUAUACUGUACAACAGAUUCGCAAUUUAGACGUUGUCGUAAUAAUGCCGCGAUCGUAAUCAGCUCUUAUUCAAGGGUCCUUGUGAUCAUGGCCAAUGGCUUGAGCCGGAUACCAACGACUAUGGCACCUGUCGCCCUUCGCCUUGCCCAGUAAGCAAAUGCAACGGUCGCCAGAUCUACUGGAAGUCAACACUAAAUUCUGAAGGUGGCUGUUAUAAAUCGUUCACACGUGGGCCUUGCAGGCGAAGUAGCUAUUUCCUCGUUGAAGAAUAUGGCACUCAAAGAGGUCGAUGUGUUUCUCAAUUUGGAUCAUCCUAUGAAUCCUAUGUCCUUCCGUCACGCUAUCCCAGGAUGAGAAACCCUUACGACAUGAUGUACUCCAACAACGCGAUGAGCCCAUGAUCGAAAUUUGGCAUGUAUCCGCCGUUUGGCAUGCAGGAAGAUUAGCGGAGACGACUAUCCUGACAUUCCCAGUUUCGAUUACUGAACUAGAAACAGUUUUACAGAACCAUUCACAUGGUUUGUCUCUAUUAUUUCAUUUUAAAAAUGCGAUUGCAAAUUUUCUAUUGUGACGUAUGGCGGAUAAAAAACAACCUUAAUUAGUUUUAAUGCAUGAAUUCGUUAGCCAAUAAUAUGUGUAUGAAGAAAAUGUUUUCACUUUGAAACAGAGUCAUGGAACCCAUCGGUUUCCAUGACUCUGCUUUGAAAGUUUGAACAGGGAUUUCUGUUUUACCUUUCUGCGAUGCGGCAACACAGCAUUGCAUGUCGAUCUGCGAACGUUUGACAACUCGCUGGUAUUGCAACAGGUUAAUAGUUUUGUGUCAAGUAAAUUUCAAGUGCGAGUAACUGCUGGAAGAUUGCAAGCGAAAUCUGCAUGUGUCGUGUCAUUGUUCUAAGUGUUGGAGACUUUUUUCGUUUUGAUUAGGCAUUCAUGUUUGGGAACAAUACCUGAAGUUGGAUAUCGCCUAGUGAUAUUUACAUAUUAAGUCCUAUUUUAAGACACUUGGGGCGAUACGUUUCGCAACAAAGAUCUAUACAGUACUCAAAAGAUGACCCACAAGCACUACGCCACCACGAUUGAGACAAGGUAAAACACAAAACUAUAAAGCGCCAUUUAUCAAUAAUGAAUGAAUUUCCUCAUUCUAACAAUAAUUUAAGAAAAUGUAAAUGUAUACUUAGCUGUGGUAAUUAUUUCGUUUACAUCGACUACACUUCAAUAAUUUACAAGUGGGAAAGUGUUGCCUAUAAGCAACAAGAAGGUAUUGUGCAUGUUUAUGAGCGAAUCAUGGCUUAAUGGGUGAGCAUCGGAUUGUACCGCUGGAUGUUUGUGGAUCAAAUACCAUCAAAGUUUUCUUCACCAUGACAUACUUGGAAUUUAUAUGCCAAUACGUGUAAUCCAUCAAGGACACUGAAUUUCACAACACCUGAAUGGGAUUCGAACCCAAUGUAUAGAGAAUUCCAGUCCACCGCUCUACCAUUGAGCUAUGAGACAUAUUACUGAGAAAUCUAAGUCUUCAACACAUUAAGGUAACUGUG